rnacentral:rRNA from 1 species
AGAGUUUGAUCCUGGCUCAGAAUCAACGCUGGCGGCGUGCCUAACACAUGCAAGUCGAUCGAGAAAGUGGAGCAAUCCAUGAGUAAAGAGGCGCACGGGUGAGUAACACGUGACUAACCUACCCUCGAGUGGGGAAUAACCUGGGGAAACCCGGGCUAAUACCGCAUAAUACCUACGGGUCAAAGGAGCAAUUCGCUUGAGGAGGGGGUCGCGGCAGAUUAGUUAGUUGGCGGGGUAAUGGCCCACCAAGACGAUGAUCUGUAUCCGGCCUGAGAGGGCGCACGGACACACUGGAACUGAAACACGGUCCAGACUCCUACGGGAGGCAGCAGUGGGGAAUUUUGCGCAAUGGGGGAAACCCUGACGCAGCAACGCCGCGUGGAGGAUGAAGUCCCUUGGGACGUAAACUCCUUC